rnacentral:rRNA from 1 species
UACGUAGGGUGCGAGCGUUAAUCGGAAUUACUGGGCGUAAAGCGUGCGCAGGCGGUUUGGUAAGUCUGAUGUGAAAGCCCCGGGCUCAACCUGGGAACUGCAUUGGAAACUGGCAAGCUCGAGUAUGGCAGAGGGGGGUGGAAUUCCGCGUGUAGCAGUGAAAUGCGUAGAGAUGCGGAGGAACACCGAUGGCGAAGGCAGCCCCCUGGGCCAAUACUGACGCUGAGGCACGAAAGCGUGGGGAGCAAACAGG